rnacentral:misc_RNA from 1 species
AGAUAUGAAUAAUAUGUAAAUACAACUUAGAGUUGUGUAAUGCCUCAAAUACAAACGUGAAUUUCCAGAUGGAUAAUUGAACUCAGAUGAUACAUCAUUAUGGAAUAACCCCUAACUUAAUCUCCGGUGUUUAUAAGCAUCUGCAUUCGAUGAUAGUUCCCCUUACAAUCCAAAAAACUCACCAAGAGUAUGGGUAAAGCUGCAGGUACGUUGUAGGCUCUAAUGAUAAUUUUCUCAGGAGAGCUCGCUUUAUCUACACUGAAACAGUAGCAUCUAUCUAAUAACUUGAACCAGACCUUUCACCUUUGUGACA